rnacentral:misc_RNA from 1 species
GAAAUGCGAUAAGUAGUGUGAAUUGCAGAAUUCAGUGAAUCAUCGAAUCUUUGAACGCACAUUGCGCUUCCUGGUAUUCCGGGGAGCAUGCCCGUUUCAGAAUCAUUGAGGAAAAGUCGACUGGGGUUGGAGGUCGCUGCACACCCCAACGGCGUGCGGUGCCAACAAGCUUGGUUGGAUGUGGACGUCUGCAGGCUUGCAGUCGUCUGAAAGACAGCGUGUUCGUGUCGACUUUCCGGCCUGAGGUGGGACCAAGUGCAACAGAUUUUUUCUAUUUCGCUUCCUACCACCACGGGGAUGGCGUCGGUUCGAGCUUGAAGGGUGACGAGGGCCCUUCUGGGGCCCUGGGCCAAAAUGGAUUCACUAACUUGAUCUGAAAUCGGGCAGGAAAACCCGCUGA